CGUCAAGUCAUCAUGGCCCUUAUGGGCAGGGCUACACACGUGCUACAAUGGCCGGUACAAAGGGCAGCGAAGCCGCAAGGUGAAGCGAAUCUCACAAAACCGGUCGUAGUCCGGAUUGCAGUCUGCAACUCGACUGCAUGAAGCUGGAAUCGCUAGUAAUCGUGGAUCAGAAUGCCGCGGUGAAUACGUUCCCGGGCCUU
rnacentral:rRNA from 1 species